rnacentral:rRNA from 1 species
GUUAACGCUGGCGGCGUGCCUAACACAUGCAAGUCGAGCGAGGAGUACCAGAAUAUCGGGCUCCUAGCGGGAGACGGGUGAGUAACACGUAAACAAUCUGCCCUCGAAUGGAAGACAACCAAGCGAAAGUUUGGCUAAUACUCCAUACAAUCUUCUCCAGGCAUCUGGAGGGGAUGAAAGGCCCGCAAGGGUUGUUCGAGGAGGAGUUUGCGGCCUAUCAGCUAGUUGGCGGUGUAAUAGACCACCAAGGCUAUGACGGGUAGCCGAUCUAAAAGGAUGACCGGCCACAAGGGAACUGGGACACGGGCCAUACUCCUACGGGAGGCAGCAGUGGGGAAUUUUGGACAAUGGACGAAAGUCUGAUCCAGCGACGCCGCGUGAAGGACGAAGGUUUUCGGAUCGUAAACUGCUUUUACAGGGGACGAAAGCUCGCAAGAGUUUGACGGUACUCUGUGAAUAAGCCACGGCUAACUACGU